ensembl:lncRNA
CGGGGAGGAUGACGACCAGGGAAAUACACCAGAGCGCUCUCUGACAGGGCAUCUGAGGUCGGAGGCUGCGGGCUCUACCCCGGGGCCGAUCCAGUUCAGGGAGGUCAGAAAGGCAGCUCGGAACGCGCCCAACCGGGACUGGAAACGUGUGAAACUCUCGGUUCAGCCCGAUUCCGCCUCGUCCAGGCAGCUUGUCUUGGGGGCACCCUAACCUCUCCGAACCUCAGUUUCCCCAUCUUGGGGUCACUGAAGCCGGAAGUUGUAGAAGCACCUAGGAAGCUACGGGGUCCUGCAUCCGGACCAGUUUCCGGCUUUGCGCUCCCCGUAAGUUACAGAAAAUUCCUCUGUCAAGAUCCCGCCGGCCGGCGAGGGGAGAGGGGCGAGGGGUUGCCGGGAUUCCGGGACGCGGCGACUGAUCUUUUCCGAGAAUCCUCCAAUGGCGGUGCCUUCGGGCAGUGCGAGAGGGGCGUGAGGUUAACUUCCAGGCUUUUCCUUAAAGCGUCCGGCGAAUAACCCGGGUGUUUGCAGAAUUAAUGAGUUGCACAGGAGGCUCAGCGCGGGGGCCCUGACUUGGAGAGCCCGGGUGCAGCGACAGGGACCCAGUCCUGAAGCGCAGGGCGCACCGCCUGGGAUUAGAGGUCGACACUGGCCUUCUCCCAGGUGAAAGAAAAGGGCUGCCAAGUCGUUUGAAGGCUGCACAAACAUUCUUCCUCUCUCGCGUCCCCGGGAAUCAGGGUCUACACCCGCGAGGGCAGGCGGAGGCGGUUACCCCGAGAGUUCCGCUUCAGCAGACGCCUUCCGAUUGAUGAAUUCGGCCAGUUCGCCACUUGAGACCUGCCCGUUUCUGGAUUUUAAUGGCCUUUUUUCCCAGGCAGAGGUGAAAGAAACCCGGGAAGCCUCCUGGAAAUCCCAUUGACUUGGCAGAAAGAAGAGCUGGACGAUGACUAGAAGGUUCCAGAAGACAUCAUGGGGAGACAUCUCAGGAAGGAAAAGUGAAUUAUCCACAGGAAUUCAGGGGCGGUGCUCCCCAUCGAAGGCUGGCAUCAGGAAAGACUCUGAGGUCAGAUCCAGACACGGGAUUGGAGGUGCUGAUAAACUCUGCUGCGGCACAGACUUUGGGGAGAAGGAAACCUAUAGUCCCGAUGAACGACUGCGUUGAUUUGGCGACCAGGUUCACUUGGCAUUUGCAGAGCGAGCUAUUUCAAGAAUGUGCAGAUUCAGUCCUGAAAAUGGCCUAGGAGAAGACUGGCUGGGCUUCAGAGGAGCAGAACAAAUGAGUUCCCCCUGCCCACCCCCCUGCUCCUUGCACCCCAUCCUGCGAUUUCCUUUGUCUCAAUCCAAAAUCCCCCUUUACAUGAUCCCGGAGGCUUCCUAAUAAAAUAGAAC